GACGAACGCUGGCGGCGUGCUUAACACAUGCAAGUCGAACGGAAAGGCCCUGCUUUCGUGGGGUGCUCGAGUCGCGAACGGGUGAGUAACACGUGAGUAACCUGCCCUUGACUGUGGGAUAACCUCAGGAAACUGGGGCUACUACCGGAUAGGAGAUCCUGCUGCAUGGUGGGGGUUGGACAGCUUCGGCGGUUUGGGAUGGACUCGCGGCUUAUCAGCUUGUUGGUGGGGUAGUGGCUUACCAGGGCUUUGACGGGUAGCCGGCCUGGGAGGGUGACCGGCCACAUUGGGACUGAGAUACGGCCCAGACUCCUACAGGAGGCAGCAGUGGGGAAUAUUGCACAAUGGGCGGAAGCCUGAUGCAGCAACGCCGCGUGCGGGAUGACGGCCUACGGGUUGUAAACCGCUUUCGCCUGUGACGAAGCGUGAGUGACGGUAAUGGGUAAAGAAGCACCGGCUAACUACGUG
rnacentral:rRNA from 1 species